GUUUUUUUAUGAAUUAUUAUUGGUUGUAACAAGUAAACAAUGGUGCGCUGCUGCUAUAUAUAGAAGAGAUAUAUCUCGAUAACAUAUCAACAACUCGAUCGAAAUCAUGGCUAAAGCUGCUCAUCUAAGUUUUUCUACUAAUUUUCUCAUUGGAUUUCUCUUGGUUUUGGUUGUUGCAAACACAGUGCAAGUUACUACUAGCUAUAUACGAUACGUCCGUGGUGAAUGUACUGUGGGGAAUUCAGUGCCGGUGAAGUCGUGUCCAAGAAGUAAUUGUGAUAGCCUUUGUACAAUCAAUAGCAAUUUUCCAGUCAGUCAUACUGAAUGCCGAAGUAGUAUAUGCUUCUGUUGCAGGUAACAAUAUAUAUAUAAACAGCAAAUGUCACCGGCAAUGGCACCAAUCAUGUAUCCCACUGAUCACUUUUCCGUUUCUUUGUAAUAGUAAGUUCCAUGAAAGGGUUAUUUGCUUAAUUAAUCAUAUCAGUUUAAUCAUAUCGUUCUCUGAUCAGUUGUUUAUCUUUUAUUAUCUGGUUGUAAGUGUAUUUCUUUUCUAUUGCUGGUUCGUUUAGAGAAUUUAUUUUACUAGUCUUUCUUUGUAUUGCAAAAUGUUUAUGUUGUAAAAUAAUAAGAUUGGUGGCCACAGUGUUUAUCCAAUAAUUAUGAAAUGAAACAUGGAUUCCUGGAAAA